rnacentral:rRNA from 3 species
ACGGAAGGCAGCAGUGGGGAAUAUUGCACAAUGGGGGAAACCCUGAUGCAGCGACGCCGCGUGAGUGAAGAAGUAUUUCGGUAUGUAAAGCUCUAUCAGCAGGAAAGAAAAUGACGGUACCUGACUAAGAAGCCCCGGCUAACUACGUGCCAGCAGCCGCGGUAAUACGUAGGGGGCAAGCGUUAUCCGGAUUUACUGGGUGUAAAGGGAGCGUAGACGGCUUUGCAAGUCUGAAGUGAAAGCCCGGGGCUCAACCCCGGAACUGCUUUGGAAACUGUAGAGCUAGAGUGCAGGAGAGGUAAGUGGAAUUCCUAGUGUAGCGGUGAAAUGCGUAGAUAUUAGGAGGAACACCAGUGGCGAAGGCGGCUUACUAGACUGUAACUGACGUUGAGGCUCGAAGGCGUGGGGAGCAAACAGGAUUAGAUACCCUGGUA